UACGGAGGGGGCUAGCGUUGUUCGGAAUUACUGGGCGUAAAGCGCACGUAGGCGGCUUUGUAAGUUAGAGGUGAAAGCCCAGGGCUUAACCCUGGAAUUGCCUUUAAGACUGCAUCGCUAGAAUCGUGGAGAGGUGAGUGGAAUUCCGAGUGUAGAGGUGAAAUUCGUAGAUAUUCGGAAGAACACCAGUGGCGAAGGCGACUCACUGGACCAUUACUGACGCUGAGGCACGAAAGCUAGGGGAGCAAACAGG
rnacentral:rRNA from 1 species